rnacentral:rRNA from 1 species
AGGGCACCACCAGGAGUGGAGCCUGCGGCUUAAUUUGACUCAACACGGGAAAACUCACCCGGCCCGGACACUGGAAGGAUUGACAGAUUGAGAGCUUUUUCUUGAUUCAGUGGGUGGUGGUGCAUGGCCGUUCUUAGUUGGUGGAGUGAUUUGUCUGGUUAAUUCCGAUAACGAACGAGACUCUAGCCUACUAAAUAGAUCGUCGGCUUACAAACGCCGGCGAGACUUCUUAGAGGGACAGGCGGUGAUUCAACCGCACGAAACAGAGCAAUAACAGGUCUGUGAUGCCCUUAGAUGUCCGGGGCCGCACGCGCGCUACACUGAAGUGAUCAGCGUGCUUUUUCAACCUACUCUGUCAAGAGUGGGGAACCCAAUGAACCUUCUUCGUGAUUGGGAUAGGGGAUUGUAAUUGUUCCCCUUGAACGAGGAAUUCCCAGUAAGCGCGAGUCAUAAGCUCGCGUUGAUUACGUCCCUGCCCUUUGUACACACCGCCCGUCGCUACUACCGAUUGAAUGUUUU